CCAGACCCCUGUCCAUGCCCAAGGACGGAAACAUUGUAUUUCUCCUUGGGACUUCAGGCUUUCCCCCUGCCUUUUCCUGUUCUUUCCAGCCGUUGCCUGGGCAGGAAGAGGCCUUUCCGAACAGACUUCUUUGUCUUCCACUUGGUCUGCCCCUCCAGGUCUCAUCCGGGACUGUUCUGUGCCUCACAGAUCAGAAACACUGUAGGGGUGACCAGCCCUCCAGCACUGUCUGGAACCAUCCUUGGUUUUAGCUCUGAAGGUUCCUGUAUCCUGAGAGAGGCCCUCAGGCCUGGGCCAACCUGCACCUUGCCCAGCUGCCCCCUUAGCCCUCAGAGCCAGGUUGAGGUACUGCCCAAGCAGCAGUCAUGUCAGGAUUCUCCUUCCACUUCCAACAAAGAGCUCUUUAUGUCUUAGCCAGCAAAGGACAAGGCUAGCAUGGGCAUUUACCCCACUGCCUCAGCUGCCUCACCAGGAAUGCAGGAGAUGCAGAUGCACGGAUGAGAAAGCUUUGCCUGUCCCAAUGCACAGCGAUGCCUGACGCUGCCUCAGAGUACCUGUGCUCUGCCCAUCCAGCUUCUGGUCAUCCGAGGCCCAGGUCCCAAAGGGGCGUGGGAGGAGAUGGUGGGAGAGACAGCUAGGCCCCAUGCUGGACACCUGAGAGGGAGACCCUGGCUUUGUGUUGAGAUUAAAUAUUCACAACGAUUAUCAUCUCUUUCAUCUUUAUUACUUAAGCAAUGUGUUUUUCAUAAUUAUUUGUUAGGUAUUUUCAUUAACAUUUGAUGAAUAUUAAUAGUUAAAAUAAAAAACAGUUUUUAUUUCUGUUGUAAUGACUUUAUGGUGAUCAUAAUAUGUAAGUAAGUGUUUAUAAUGUGCGCUACUGGUUAAUAUUUAGAUCACUGAUUUUUUUCCACAGAAUAGAAACGUG
rnacentral:lncRNA from 1 species